GGUUUCAGUUUUGCAAGAUGAAAAGGUUUUAGGGAUCUGCUACACAACAAUUUGAAUACAGUUAAUGCUACUGAACUUUAUGCUUAAAAUUGUUAGGAGGGUAAAGUUUAUAUAAUUUUUUUACUACAAUUAAAAAUUUUUAAAAGUUCAUAGUAUUUUUUUACAACAAUUAAAAAUUUUAAAAAGAAUAGAAACUUUAAAAAAUUGUUCUGAAUCCCUGUGGCCACAAUUAUGGCCAUAGCAAACAAAAUCAUUACCCCAAAAAUCUUAAAAAGAAGGAUUUGUACAUAUGAUAUAUCUGUGAAGCAGGUGGCUUAAAACUUUCCAAAGUCACACAACCAGUUGGUUGUGAGCUGGAAGCUAAGUCUGAUUGUCAGUCCAAAGAGGUUUUUUUCUGGAGUUUCCUCUCUACCACCUUACCCUCUGGUAACAUGGCACCUGGCACACAGAGAAUGCUCUAGUAGAAAUUCUGGAAAUAAAUGAAUGCCUCCCACACUGCCUGAUCACUUCCGUCCUUUGUAAGUUGACGGAAAGGAAAACGUAUUCUUCAGUCUUCUAUAUAUGUACCCGACCAAGCAAUUCUUCAUGUAAAUAAUCUGACUUUGGUUUAAUAAAAUGUAUAUGACAUAAGAACACUAAAAUAUUUCAAAAUGUAAAAUAAUUCUGGAAAGACAAAAAAGAUAACUGAAACAGAGUACUGCCAUUAAUUGUCGUCAUAUGACAUACUCCCCAUUGAACACCUGGUUUUGAACCUGUAGAUUUCCCACUGUGGUGUAACUUGCCCCCAAAUACAAGUUUGCUGCUGAUUUAGAAACACAAAGUGGUAUUUUGGUUUUCCAGAGUAUUUUUGAAAUUAUUAUAGUCUAUAUUUUUUUCAGCCACCAGGUGGCAUGAGUUUUGCUACUGAAAUAUACAAUAAAACUGUAUAAAAAAAUGUAUCCUGAAGAAAGAAAUUAUAUCAAGUCUUACAUAUCUAACAGAAAGAUAAUGAUAAUGGAUUUUGUCAUGAAUUCAAUCAAUGAAAACCUACACACUAAUAGAUUCAAUAGCUAUGACUAUGUCACAUAAAGACCUUAGGAGCUUUAUGUUAGACAUUUAUCCUAACAAAGAGCUCCCAAAUAAAAAUGUAUAAUUGAUGUAGAGUAGGUGAGCACAAUUAUCUAAAAUUAUACUUUCUUAAAUUAAGGCGUUAAUUUCAUCAGUGACCUGUUCUUGUAAGACAGAGAUGAAAAAAAUCUUUUUUCUCAAUUCUGUGAUAAUUCGUAACCCUGUUUAUCAAUGAUAAAUUCACACACUAUUACUUAAGUAUCAGACCAAAUUUAAAGAUAGGCUUCAUUUUUAAGAAAACUCUCAAAUAUUAAGAAAAUGAGAAGAUAAUUAUUCAUUCUAAAAAGCCAUUCUACAAAAUAGUUCAUGGCAACAUUGAUUAGAAGAGUAAAUUUCUUUACAGUAUUUAACUUUUCAUCCGACAUCACAAGAAAGGGAAGAAUGGCCAACCUGGUGCUUAUGAAGUUGAACCAGCCACCUGGGGCUGAAGGAAUCUGUGGAAAUGUUGUAAGAUGCUAUCAAGCAUUUCCCCCUUCACUGGUUUAUUUUUCUUUCGACGUCCAAUUCCAAAUCCAAGGAGCUAAGCCCUUUCGUAUUCACCAUUCAGGAGAUGCAUCUGACAAGGCUCAAAGCAGAAAAAUAGAGUUUUCUUAGCUUCGGUUUCCAAAAAUGUAUACUCUUAGGGAAUGGCUAUGACCAUUGACGUAGAUAAAAAGAUAUGUGAGGGGAAAACAGCAUGGUAUGAGCAGGAGGAAGGGGUGAGGAACAGGUUUUACUCAGAGGCCACAUGAUGCCACGGAUGCCUCAAGUGGUGUCUGCGUAGACAAAUGCCAUCAAGGAUCAGAUGGGCCACUUAUCCCACAAAAUCUUGGCUAGAUAUCAGCACCUAGAAUUUUGAUGCAACCCCAUGGCAGAGGGGGAACCCCAACAUUUCCAAGAUGGCUUAUUUAAGGCAAAGGAAGGGAGAGCUAAACCUGAAAUUGUGUUCAGUCCUAGAAAAUAAUUGUGGUGGUAUUUUGUAUUAGCUUCGGAUAUCUGAUGCUGUUAGUAUUUUCUAAGUUUAUUGUCCAUGAACUCAUUUGUCUUUUUUUCUUCUGUAGUAUUUGGCAAAUUUCUUUUUAAAAUAUCAGCCUUUGUCAGUUCUCCUGUGGGUAUUGAAGGAAAAGGUUUUGUUUCCACAAGUGGACAGUAGCUUUAUGGGAAAAGUACUUAUGAGGACAAGCUUGUCUUUGAUGAGGUCCCUAUGAGAAGCCCAAGAAAAGGUGAAUCUCAGGAGAGUUGACUUCCCACCUGCGGAUUCUCUUGUCUUCCCUUUCAUCCUCAUUGUGUGACUGCCUGUAGCAUUAGACAUCAAUAUAUUCACUAGCGUUAUAAGAGAUAAACAAUACUUUCCCCUUACAUAAAAUACAUUCUAAAGGGGGAAACCGAUGUGUCAACCAAUGUGUAUAGACCUUGUUUGAGUCUGAGAAGUGCCCAGAUAGAAAAUAGCAUGUGCUAUCGUUGAUGCAUGUGAAGGACCAAGGAGAGGUAUGUAACACACCAAAAAUAAAUAAGCCUCACCUUAGACAUGUAAUUGUCAGUACACGUGCAUGUUUGUGUGUGGGUGAUGGAAUGAGAGGGGUUUUGUAUGUGCAGUUAUUUACAGUUUUGUACCAGUUUCUUGGAUCUAACUACCAGGGUCUUCUCAACCCAGAUAUUUAUCUAUAAUAACACUUUAAGGGGUUCUCUGACUUGAAGCUUCAUGAGAAUGACGAGAAGGUCGAUUGAGAAUGGCUGUACCCACGCUCUGUAAUGAGAAUGUCACGUCUGCAUAAUUAUCUAUAAUAAACUCUGCAGGGGCUACAGAGGAUUAUGAUCUUGGUUUCCAGUAUGGUAAGGAAAAGAGUUCUCAUCCUCCCUGAAUCGAUUCCUCUGUCCACUGGGUCCUGGUUUGUGAUGGAAGAGUCACAUCUAACAUGGGCUGCCUUAAUUACUGAUCUUGGUAAGCUAGGCUUUGCUUACCAACACCCAGGGUGACAAUACAGGGUGCUGUGGUUCUCCAUGUCUCUAACCUGAGCGCUCCAAGAAAAAGGUGACCCUUUUCUCUGAACAUUGCCAUGGUAGAAAGGGUUUCCUAACAUAUG
rnacentral:lncRNA from 1 species